rnacentral:rRNA from 1 species
UAUCAGCUUGUUGGUGAGGUAAUGGCUCACCAAGGCGUCGACGGGUAGCCGGCCUGAGAGGGUGACCGGCCACACUGGGACUGAGACACGGCCCAGACUCCUACGGGAGGCAGCAGUGGGGAAUAUUGCACAAUGGGCGAAAGCCUGAUGCAGCAACGCCGCGUGAGGGAUGACGGCCUUCGGGUUGUAAACCUCUUUUAGCAGGGAAGAAGCGAAAGUGACGGUACCUGCAGAAAAAGCGCCGGCUAACUACGUGCCAGCAGCCGCGGUAAUACGUAGGGCGCAAGCGUUAUCCGGAAUUAUUGGGCGUAAAGAGCUCGUAGGCGGUUUGUCGCGUCUGCUGUGAAAUCCCGAGGCUCAACCUCGGGCCUGCAGUGGGUACGGGCAGACUAGAGUGCGGUAGGGGAGAUUGGAAUUCCUGGUGUAGCGGUGGAAUGCGCAGAUAUCAGGAGGAACACCGAUGGCGAAGGCAGAUCUCUGGGCCGUAACUGACGCUGAGGAGCGAAAGGGUGGGGAGCAAACAGGCUUAGAUACCCUGGUAGUCCACCCCGUAAACGUUGGGAACUAGUUGUGGGGUCCAUUCCACGGAUUCCGUGACGCAGCUAACGCAUUAAGUUCCCCGCCUGGGGAGUACGGCCGCAAGGCUAAAACUCAAAGGAAUUGACGGGGACCCGCACAAGCGGCGGAGCAUGCGGAUUAAUUCGAUGCAACGCGAAGAACCUUACCAAGGCUUGACAUAUACGAGAACGGGCCAGAAAUGGUCAACUCUUUGGACACUCGUAAACAGGUGGUGCAUGGUGUCGUCAG